rnacentral:rRNA from 1 species
UACGUAGGGCGCGAGCGUUGUCCGGAAUUAUUGGGCGUAAAGAGCUCGUAGGCGGCCUGUCGCGUCAAUUGUGAAAGCCCGGGGCUCAACCCCGGGUCUGCAGUCGAUACGGGCAGGCUAGAGUUCGGUAGGGGAGAUCGGAAUUCCUGGUGUAGCGGUGAAAUGCGUAGAUAUCGUUUGGAACGCCAAUGGUGAAAACAGCUAGCUGGGGAUGCGCCGACGCUGAGACACGAAAGCCAGGGGAGCGAACGGG